AUGUCAUUUCGCUUGAGGCUGCAGAACCAGUUGCCUGCUGUGGGAGGCCUCGCUGUACAUGUUGCCAGAGGGCCAGACAACAGGGUGUUCUUUUUAAUCUACUUCCUCCUGUAAAUGUUUUGGACCUAUUUGUUGUCCUUGACCUUGGGAAUCAAGAUGGGACCGAGGCCCCAAGAGGGAAGUCGCCCGAGUGUGUAGUGUCUGCAUCCCGAGCUCAAGCCUUCUGACUCCUGGGACCAGCACGCCGGGCGCCCAGCUCCUCCCCGUGCGCUGGCCAGGGUCUGCGUCGACCUGGAGUGACGUCACCGUUGGUCCAGCAUGAACUGGGAGGCGCUGGAUCACGUGCCCCUGCUGCUGUACAUCUUGGCGGCGAAAACACUGAUUCUUUGCCUGGCAUUUGCCGGAGCCAAAGCGUACCAAAGGAAGAGGCUGGAAGCCAGAGAGGGACAGGGGGAAGCGGAGAAGAAGGCGGAGAAGAAGGCGCGCUAAGGGAGCCACAGCGUCCAGAUCUGGGCCUCGGAGCAGCCCGCGUGGCCGGGCCACAGCAGCUCCUGUGGUGGGAGCCGCCUUGUUAAAGAGAUGGUCCAUCCACUGGACCUCGGGAGCCGGACCCCGUGGGGGAAGAGAGAGCGCGUCCAAGCAAAAGGAUGAGCUCAGUGCUGUCUGAGCCAGAGGGGCUGCACGUGGCGCUGCGCUGAGCGAGUGGGGCGUUCGCGCUGCUGAUCAGACGGCUCCUGCUUCCCACCGGCCCUCCCCCCAGACGCUCCUGCUUCCCACCGGCCCUCCCCCCAGACGCUGCUGCACACGGCGCCACGUGGAGAGUGGACUCGGCCGAGGAGAAGAAACUCCCGCGGGUAACUCCCAGCUGCAGCGGAACUAAAGUGACGGGACCUAGCAGAGGCUCUCAGAACCUGUGUUUUCUCUAGUAAAGUAAACACCUGGACAAAGGC